UCCAAAUUUAGUGAUUAACACUACAUGCUUAAUUGACCGGGUCGUCCACUAUAUUAAAUUAGCUUGUUUUUGUUUGAUAGGCCACUAUCUGUAUUUGAUAAGUCAUAUAAGGCAACGUGACCCAGCUUUAUGUCACAAAAAGUACAAAUAUGUGUUAAAUGUGAUAAACUCAACGUAAAACCAAUCCAUGAUCUUAAUCUUUAAUUAAUCUGCAAGAGAGCAGAGAUUAUGUGUGCCUACACAUUUGUAUUUCAAUAACUUAAAGUUAAAUAAUGCAGUAAAUGUACAGCGUUUUGUAUGAUAUAUGUUUACCCAAAGCUUAACAAAACCGAUCAUUUAUGUUAAAGUGCUAUAAGGGCCGUUAGCUAAACAAACCAUUCGAUUCAUAUUAAUAUGUCGCUAAAGGCAUAAGCAGGCAUGGAUAACAUGCCGGCGUUUUCUAUAAAUACUGUCAAAAAAUAAAGAUUAUUGCAGUGAACACAUACCUCCUACGUGUGACAGAAGAUUAGACUUCUACAGUUCAUCAUGAAAGCAGCAUUCUUAUGUAUCAUGGUUGUUUCUGUCGUCGUUUCUGUGGCGAUAGCUUACAAGGAGCCUUGUAUCAACAAUGGGCAGGAAUACGCCCACGAGGUUGUGUUCCUUGACGCCGACUGUAACAAGUGCCAAUGUAAUGAUGGCAAUACAGUUUGCGAGAUGAAUGCGUAAGGAUGUCCUGAAGUGUGCGAGUACAACGGCAAACGGUACAAAGCAGGCGAAAGUUUCCCGGAUGACGACGGCUGCAACACGUGUAACUGCCACAGGGGUGGUGCAGUAGCUUGCACCCUCAUGUUCUGUUUAGGCACCCCCAUCCCGUUGAAAUGAUGAUCACAUCCACGCAUUGGUUAGCAUCCGAUAUAAUUGAGCUGCAAAGCACUUAUGGUUGAAUGUAUUCAAUUGAAAGCCGUAUGAUUAU